CUGGAGUUUCUUAAAUCUGUCUUCCCUCCAGACUGAAAACCUGCUUCCUCUGUAUCUCACGUUACAAUCCUAACUCAUAUGCAAAUCUCUCCAACUGGCAUGAUUUCACCAAGGGCAGUUUGGAAUUGCAGUGACAGAGGAAGUUUGGAUGUGAACACAGUUGUUCAUCUGAGAGGCUCCAUAGAACGAGCAUUUAGUGAGUUGGGUUUCAAGGUCUUUUACAGUCUUUUGGAGCUCAGGCUCUAAUUGAUACAUAGUUAGGAUUUUAUAAAUUUAAAAUUCAAGAAAUUAAAAAAAUGAUUAACUUUCAAUGCUUUAAAUGUUUUGACUCUUCUAAAGAAAACUGUUUUUCUCCCCACAAUAGCUCCGUAAAAGAGUUGAUGGCAAAUGCUCUUUUUCCUGAAGUCUAUUUCAGAGGUUCCUGGCAAUCAUUUGGGGUUCUAAAUUUGAUUUAACCUCCACGACACCUCUGAAUGAAAUUUAAGGCUGAAAAACAUAGAAAUGGAAGUUUGGACACAUAUCAAUAAUUUUUGAUAGAACUUUACUCAGAGUUAAGUGCAUUGAGAGAACUAGAAACAAGAUUUGGAAAAAAGUGAAAAUUAUAGCCAAGACUAUGACAAGAAGCUACAGCAAAUCCAAUCACAGGGAGGUGGCCAGGCUCCAACCAGCGCACUAGCAACGGACGCCACGGGACACAACUGACCGUGUUCGUUUACAGAUUCACUUACAGAGUGAAUGUAAUCAGCAACAGCCAUUUAGAUAUUAGGAGAUGGGUUCCUUCCCCACACCCUCAAGGUUGAAAUGGUUUCACCAACUGCCGUCACCAACUCCAAGCAGACUGCUCCAAGCAGAGUUGAAAUGUCGUGAGUCUGAGGGACAGAGAAGAAGCUUGAAGAAUGAAUGAGAAGUAUCUAUGGAUUCAUUCUUAAGUGCAAUUGAGGCACUACUCUGGGAAACUGUAAUGAGGUAGUUUGUUUAUUUAUUCUUUUCAUUAGAGAAGCACAUACACAGAAGAAGAAAGAACUUCAUAAUAAUAUAGUAAAAUCCCAUCUGCCCACAUCAACAGUGAACAUUUUGGCAAUUUUCUUUCAUAUGUCACCCAUCUCCACUUAUUUAUUUAUUUUUUUUAAAUUUUGGUGAAAGGUUUGAAGUACCUAGCUUUGUUAUUUUCUUAAAAUUGUGAAUUUACUUUUUUAGAGUAGCUGUAAGUUCACAGCAAAAUUGAGAGGAAGGCAUGGAGAUUUCUCAUAAACUCCCUGCCCCUAUACGUACAUUGCCUCUCCCAUUAUCAACAUCUCCCAUCAGAGUGGUACGUUGGUUCCACUUGAUGAACUACCAUACACGUCACAAUCACCCAAAGUCCGUAAUUCACACUACAGUCCACUCAUGGUGUUGUGCAUUCCAUGGGUUUGGACAAACGUAUAACGACACGCAUCCAUCAUUAUGGUAUCAUACACAGUAUUUACGCUGCCCUAAAAAUCCUCUGUGUUCCACCUGUUCAUCCCUCCCCCUCCCCCAACCCCUGGCAAUCCACUGAUUACUUUGAUUUUCUGAAAAUGAAGAUAUGGAGGGGUUUUUUGCUUUAAUCCUGCUUGUUAUUCUCUAAGCUUCCUGGAUGUGCGGUUUGGUGUCUGCCAUUAAUUGGGGGAAAUUCUUGGUCAUUAUUCUUUCAAAUAUAUCUUCUGCUCCUUUCUCUCUCUUUUCUUUCUGGUAUUCCCAUUAUGUGUAUGUUACAUCCUUUGUAGUUGUCCCACAAUCCAUGGAUAGUGUAUUCUGUUUUUUUCAGACUGAAAAACUUUUGGUUUUCAAAGUUUCUAUUGGUAUGUUUUCUAGCUCAGAGAUUUUUCCUCAUGUGUUCUAUUUACUAAUGAACCCAUCAAAGACAUUCUUCAUUUCUCUUACAGCAUUUUUUAUCUCCAGCAUUUAUUUUGGUUCUUCCUUAGAAUUUCCAUCUCUCUGCUCACAUAGCCCAACUGUUCUCACAUGCUGUCUCUUUGUCCAUUAGAGCCCUUAGCAUAUUAAUUAUAGUUGUGUUAAAUUUACUGGCUGAUAAUUCCAACAUUCCUGCCAUCUCUGGUUCUGAUGCCUUCUCUGCCUUUUCAAACUGUGGGGUUUUUUUGCCUUUUGGUUUGCUUUAUAAUUUUUCCUUGAAAGCCAAACAUGAUGUACUGGGUAAAAGGAACUGCUGUAAACAGAUCUUUAGGGUGUGGAAGGAGAAGCAUUCUAUAGUCCUAUGAUUAGGUCUCAGAUUUUUAGGGAGCCCAAACCUCUGACUGUGAACUUCACAAGCGUUUUUCAGUAUUUUUUUCUCCCCACUUAGGUGGGACAGGAUGGCUUGAGUGGGCUGGAUUUGGUAUUUCCCUUCUUUGUGGUAGGCUAGAGCUGGCUAGAGUUGGGUAUUUCCCUUCCCCAGGUCAGUUAGGCUCUGAUAAUACCCCAGCAGGUUGGGCUCUAGUUAACCAGUUUCCCCUGAUGUCAGGCCUUGCUAGAAAGGAUAGAGUGCUCUGGUGUAUGUAUUUCAAAAUGGUUCCUUUGCCCCUACCCCCUGCUGAAAGCAGGAAAGGAUUUUCUCUGAUAUCUACUGUGGGACACUGGUUGAGCUCCUGAAGGUAAAUCUAACAAUUUUGUGGGCUCCCCAUGUUGACUGGUUUCCCCUGGGGUUUUUAAUUCUCAGGCUUAUCCACACUGAGCCUCUAGCAGUCAGACAAUUAUAGUUCCGGCUUUCCUACCCAGGUGCUGGUUCCCGAGGCCGUUGGUGCUGUGAAUCUGCUCGUCAGCCACAAUGCCCUUGCCUGUCUGUCUCUCCAAUCUUGGGGGUAGUGGUUUGCCCUGUGCCCUCUUCUCUCUUAUGAACUCAAGAAGAGUUGUUGAUUUCUCAGUCUGUUCCACUUUUUUCUUGUUGUUAGACUGGCAUGACAAUUUCCAAGGUCCUUACAUGCAGAAUUGGAAACCCAGUCUCCACUUGUUUUCAUUUUCCCUUUUGUUUUUUUAAUCAAAACUACAACUAGAUUUGAUUAGGAUUGAUCAGUAGAUUCAAGUAUUGUCAGUCGCAGUAGGCAGAAUUCUAAAGAUGCCCACUCAACUUCCUAGCCUCGGUUAUUCAGUAAAACACUAAUUUUGGUACAGCUGUGAAGGGACUUUUCAGAUCUGAUAACGAUAAAGAGAUUGUAUUGGAUUAUAUGAGUGAACCCAAAUUAAUCACCUGAGCCCUUAAAAGCCGAGAAGUUUCUCAGGCUAUUGUCAGAGAGAAGAGGUAGCAGGAGGGAUGAGACAGAAGAGGAAGUCAGAGAUAGACACGAGAAGAACUAGAACUGUUGUUGACUAUGAAGAUGGAGGAAGGGGAUCAGGAGCUAAGGAAUAUGUGGCCUUCGAAGCUGAGAAUGACCCAUAGCCAAAAGCCAGCAAGUAAAUGGGACCACAGUACUACAACCACAUAGAACUGAGUUCGGCUAAGAAACUUGGAAGUAGAGAUAUCCCCAGAACCUGCAGAAAGAAAUGCAGGCCUGCUGACAGCUUGGUUUCUGUCCAUGUGACAUCUAGGUAAGAGAAACAAGCCACACUGUACUUGGACUUCUGAUCUACAGAACUAUGAGAUAAUAAAUUUGUGUUGUUUUAAACAGCUAAAUUUGUGAUAAUUCAUUUUGACACCAAUAGACCUCUAAUACAUCAGAUUUAUUCCUCUUUUACAAAUUUCCCUUUCAGCAUUUCACCAAAUGCUUUCAGUAUUCACUAUUGAUCACUGCCUACAUCCAUUAUUUCAUUAGAGACUGUAAAACAGUAAUAUAAAAAUUCAGUCAUCCCUCUUGCAUUUAUUACCUGUGAUUUUUUUAAUAAAGAAUACUUUCUCUUAUUAACUAUUGGUUAUCCAACAGUAUAAACAGAGCAAAACCAAUGCUCCCUCCUUUCACUUUAUUUACCACUUUUCAGAAUAAUGAGUUAGUGUUCUAGCUGGUGCCUAAAAUCUCUUUGAGUAUCUUUAUGAAUUCUAGAUUUUUAUGUAUUUGAUGUGUUUUGGUCUAUUGCAUUAAAAAAUCUCCCUUCUUUGUUAGCCUGCAAACUAACUCUUGUUUCCUUUGAUAAGACUCAGUUGUUUUUUAAUAUCAUCAUUUCUUUCUGGUACAGCAAGAUAUCAUAAUUUAACUGUGUACAUUUUCUUCCCUAGGCCUGAAAUCAACAAUUUUUGCACCGCCCUCCCCCGCCAGAACUCUUUUUUUUUUUUUUUUUGUAGGAAACAGUAUUUAUAGAUUAUCAUCUGGGUAAUAGGUGAGCUCGUUACAAAUAAGUUGUUAUUGCUUCUUGGACUUUAAACUGCACAGAGCAAAAAAAUGCUACUCUAUUGAAAAAAAUCCUGAGUUCCCCCUACUUCCAUUGCAAAUAUGAGAUCGUAGGGGUUUUACUUUAUUUUUCUUUACUUAUUUUGCCUUAAACGUAUCAAAAUAAUUACUUUAUUUGAUAUAUCUUACAAUAUACACAUUAUAGUUUCAAAAAUAUACAUACACCAAUGUGACCCAUAAAAAUAAUAAUAGCACUGAAUAGAUUUUAGGAUUUCUUCACAUUCUUUUUGUUCUUAGGAUACAUUCCACUGGAAGUAAAGUUUAAAUACUGUGUUUUAAAGUGUUUUGAAACAUACUUUUGCUCUGUGCAAUUGUCUUAAAAUGUGUUAUCCAUAUGGCCAUCAAAUUGUAACAAUUGCUUUUUUUCUUCCGAUUUAGUAAAUUUUUAAAGAUAUGUACAACAUUAAAUCGCUCUAAAUUGAAUAUUAUGGACAAGUUACAGUUAGAGAAUUUAAACUUUCAUUGCAGCCCUUCUAUCCUAUGGCCUCAUAUUAUGAUAGAAAACCAUUUUCAAUAAUAUUUUAUUUAUGCUUUCAGUGUUUCUCUUUGAAUAUAGGUAUAAAACAUGUUCUGCCAGGCAGAUACCAAGGAAACUCAGGAAUCUUGAGUCCCACAUACCCACUGCCUUCUCCCAAAUCACCAAUCUUCCUUGCAGAGAAGCGAAGGAGGAUCUUGAAAGAGGCCAGCGCUUCUGUCUAGCUCAGAUGCUUCCAAAAAUAAACAGGAGCUGGCCGCAUUCCCAUGGGGUUUCUGGCCUGGGGCUAGAAUUGAUUAUCAGACAUGAAAGGGGCUGGCCCCGUGGCCGAGUGGUUAAGUUCACGCGCUCCGCUGCAGGCAGCCCAGUGUUUCGUUGGUUCAAAUCCUGGGCGCAGACAUGGCACUGCUCAUCAAACCACGCUGAGGCAGCGUCCCACAUGCCACAACUGGAAGGACCCACAGCGAAGAAUAUACAACUAUGUACUGGGGGGCUUUGGGGAGAAAAAGGAAAAAAUAAAAUCUUUAAAAAAAAAUAGACAUGAAAAUUUAUUUUAUAUUUUUAUACAUUGGUCUUCUAUUUUUAUUUUAUGUCCAUUAGUCGUAAGAAACAUGAGCUAGUGAAAUAUAGUAGAAACUUAAAUGUUUGUUGAUUGAAUAAAUGAACCAGAAUUUUAAUAAAUAUUUGUUGGCAG
ensembl:lncRNA